rnacentral:rRNA from 1 species
AACGAACGCUGGCGGCAUGCCUAACACAUGCAAGUCGAACGAGACCUCCGGGUCUAGUGGCGCACGGGUGCGUAACGUGUGGGAACCUGCCCUUAGGCUCGGAAAUAUACUUUGAAAGGGGUGCUAAUACCGGAUAAUGUAUUCGGACAAAAGAUUCGUCGUACUUGGAGGGGCCGGCGUUGGAUUAGCCUGUUGGUAGGGUAAAAGCCUACCAAGGCGACGAUCGAUAGCUGGUCUGAGAGGAAGGUCAGCCACACUGGGACGGUGACACGGCACAGACUCCUACGGGAGGCAGCAGUGGGGAAUAUUGGACAAUGGGCUAAAGCCUGAACCAGCAAUGCCGCGUGAGUGAUGAAGGCCUUAGAGAUGUAAAGCUCUUUUACCCGGGAUGAUAAUGACGGUACCGGAAGAAUAAGCACCGGCUAACUCCGUG